rnacentral:rRNA from 1 species
UACAGAGGUCUCAAGCGUUGUUCGGAUUCAUUGGGCGUAAAGGGUGUGUAGGUGGCGCGCUAAGUCGGGUGUGAAAUUUCGGAGCUUAACUCCGAAACUGCAUUCGAUACUGGGCGGCUAGAGUCUGGUAGGGGGAUCUGGAAUUCCUGGUGUAGCGGUGGAAUGCGCAGAUAUCAGGAGGAACACCGGUGGCGGAAGGCGGGAUCCUGGGCCAGUACUGACGCGUGAGG